rnacentral:rRNA from 1 species
ACUCAUCAACAAUUGACGUUUUAGCAGUAAAAGUGCCAUUGCAUUCUAAGCAUUUAAAACGUUGUUUAGCUAAGUUGAGGUAUGUGUUAUACCCUUGAGUUUUAAGUAAAGUAAUACGAGAAACACGCUUACCAUGUUUAUGAAUUUGUCCUUCAUUUUUAACUCCACAACAAUAACAGGCCGAAGGCUUAUACG